UACAGAGAGAUAAAACAAUAUGGAUCCGGGUCCCUGACAAUCGAAUGUCCGGACAUAAACAUACCAUCAAUGAGAAAAAACAGCUAAUGGCUUAACCCUAGAUUUUUUGUGCAUAUGUUGGGGGCACUACAUUGUCAUCUAGAGGAAAGGUUUUCCUCGUCCAGCGCCUUUUUUUCUGCUGAUUGUUCUAGACAAACACCCAAAUAAUAUAUGCAAACUAUACUUGCUCAAGAAUUCUUUUUUCGUAUCCUUUUUGGCCAAUUCAACAUAAACCACCACCACAUUCCACACCUCUGUUUCCAGGAACAAAAGUUUAAAGCGCCUUGAGAAAACAGAAGGCUAAAGACAUGGAAUAAAAUAAUACUCCCUCUUGGUCGUCCUUUGAUUUUUUGCAUGUAAUUUUAGAAGUUUUGAAAACAUAUUUAAAAUUAGUAUUUUUAAAAUUUUAUUUUUCUGAAUAAAACUAACAUUCAGAAAAAUAAAAUCACCAAAAUUUUAUUUUUGCUAUAUGAUCAAAACACCUAAGGUUACGUAUAAAUAGGACCACAGAUCAGUUGAAAAGGAAACAUAAUCAUCUCCUGCUUAUAAAAUUUGUCUACGUUGAUUAUAUUUUCGACUAUAAAUAUUCAAGAACUUGAAGCAAAAAUUGUAAAUGAAAGAUACAAAUUGUCUUAAUAUUUAGGUUAAGCAUUUACUGCCUUUCCCAUUCAACUGUAAAGAGUAAACCAGCUCUCAUUAAAACCAACAACAAUCUAAAAGAAAACUAGACAAUGAAAAAAACCCAGCAUUAGCCAAAGGCCUUUCGCCCUUGCAGCACACUUACCAUUAUUACCAAGANUAGUACACANGAAUGUCCGGACAUAAACAUACCAUCAAUGAGAAAAAACAGCUAAUGGCUUAACCCUAGAUUUUUUGUGCAUAUGUUGGGGGCACUACAUUGUCAUCUAGAGGAAAGGUUUUCCUCGUCCAGCGCCUUUUUUUCUGCUGAUUGUUCUAGACAAACACCCAAAUAAUAUAUGCAAACUAUAC
rnacentral:lncRNA from 1 species